GUGCUGUUAUAGUGUAUCAGUGACAGUGGAGCGCCCUCUCCCGGUCAGGCGGAGAACACACGCCUGAAGUUCUGCAACGUGGACAACAGAGGGCGACAUUCACCAGCUUUCUUCAAAUGAGGAAACCGAAUCAAACUCUCUUCAAAUGGAGAAACUGCUGAGUCACUCCUGGCGGCCUUGAACAUCUGCACGAGUGACUGAGAUGGAUUUUAUCUGACAAACCGAGUGAAAAGCAGAAGGCGCAGUUCCUGUUUUAACUCAUCAAAUAUUCACAUGUAGUCGCACUGAUACACGAUUGUGGCCCUGUACACAAAUUAGCAUAAGUAUAACAAGUGUUCGGAUUGGAAAUAGAAUAAAGAUGCAUUGUUGCUGUCAGUGGGCUUGCCUCUCCACAGAUCUGUAACGUCAACAUCUUCACUGACUUGCAAAAAGAGGUAAAGAAAUCAAAAUAUGCUGUGUGUGAGUGUGUGAUGGUGAAAAUAAGUAGCAAGAAGAUUUAAAAGAAGCAGAGUUAGGAAGAUUUAGGCCUGUGCAGACCGGACUGGCCACACCACCUGUUUGUCUCGAUGGAGAUGUUACAGCUGUGCCUGGAAUCGUCUUCAGAAUGGUAUCAAAUGUUUGCCUGCAUGAUAUCUCUGAAUCUUUUUUAUACCAGUGAUAUGCAUUGGUAUGUUUAAUGCCAUAUUGUGGAGCAUUCCAGAUAAAGCAAUAACAUACAUCUCCAUGGAGACAAGUAGGAAAAAUUGGUCAUCUUUAAUUCCAAAUAAUGUCAUAAGCUUGAGGCACUAUUUAUUUUAAAUUUUUUUAAUUCCACUAAGUAUUUUUUAUACCCUUACAUUUCUGAGAAACCGAAAGGACUCGCCCUUUUUUUGGCAAGAACGGAAGGUCAGCUGAUUAGUUCAGUUAAACAAGUCCCUCUGAAAUAACAGUACAGUCCCAGGCCAACGAGCAUCUGCCAAGUCUCACCUUUUUGUUGAAAAUCAAACUCCUAAACAGGACCAUGAGCGCUCGGACUGAUCACAGACUCUGCAAAAUGUGCUGUUUAAAUCCAUAUUUGUAUCUUAAAACCUCUGGCUGUGUUUGCUUGUGCCACCAUACAAACUGCUAAACAUUCAGCCAUAGACAUGGAUGCAGAACACUCCAGUGUGAUGUCACUGUAAAAUACGAAUAUAGCUUCAGCGUAACAUCUUGGUAUAGCGCUGAAACAUCUGAACAAACCCAGUGAAGAUGAACUUUAAAAACACAGAGGAGCACUUCCUGAGUAAAACACAACUGUAGGUUUAUUUUUCAUUAAAGAUACUGUGUAAUAUUUCGAGUGGAGAGUCCAUCUCCAUGGAAAUAUUACUUUGUCUAGAAUGUCCCACUGUAUAGAUUAAACCUAGUGUGAGUGAGGCAAAAAGGUUACAGCACUAAGCUACAUUACAGCUCAGAUCUGUGGAGAGGCGCCCAGAUUCACAGAAGGAAUUGUUUUAUUUUUGAGCAACAGAAACACCCGUGAUGAAUAAAUGCUAGAUGGAGAUGUUUAAUGUCAUAUCCUGGAACAUUCCAGGGAAACCAAUAACAUCUUCAUGGCGACAAGCAUUUGAUGGACCAGACUGUAAACAUUGUAUACUAUAUAUCUGUGAACAUUUGAUAUUAUAUAUCUGUAAACAUUGUGUACUGUAUAUCAGUUUCUAAUUCAUCCUUAAUUGGAGUAAUUUGGCCUUUGUGCUUCUCCCCAAAAUUUUACACAAUCAAAUGUUAGAAUGUGAACAAAAGGCAGUGCAGCAGAGUGACUAAUCCCUAGUGUCGGGGUUAGAGUUUAAGUUCACGGUGAGGCCAGAGAAGUGAAAGGAGGUGAACUUCUGAGUAAAACGCCCAUUAUUGAUGACUAAAGGUUCAAAAAUAAACUUCAUGCUCAUGGUAUAGCUGUCAACCACAUCAGAACAUCGGAUAGCCAAAAAAUGUUCUUGAGAAUAGGCCUUCUGUUAGUCUACUUCAAAAUAAAGUAACUGAAGUGGGCCUAGAGAAGUACACAGCAGUGGAGUGUUAAAAUUGACUCUCACAGAAUCAAUUUUAACAUUUUCUCCAAUCUGUACUAGAGUUAAUUUAACACUUUUGGAAACAUUAAGUAACACUGGACCAAAGUUCCUAUUUAACAGCAAAAUCAAGAGUUAGAUUAACAAGAGUAAACGGAUAACACUUUGUAGGGUUAUCCUGAUUUAGUUAAACAACACAGAGGUGUUUUAUUUUUAUACUUUUAGUUAAUUUAAGAUUAAAUUAUGUACAAAACUGGUUCAAACUGGUCUUCUCUCGCGAGAGUUUGAAGUGGGUGGAAGGAGCAAAUUAACACAAGAGGAAGUUGGAUUAACUUCAACCAUAUCAACUUAAGCAAAUAACCCCAACUCGAACCCCCAUUUAAUUUUCAAAUAGUUAAAAUAACACUUUUUGUGUUAAAAACAACUCAAAUUGAAAUUUUAACCCUACACAGUUUGCUGUGUAGCCUACAUCUUUGGGAAGCUGUGUUAACAGUCCCAGGCCUUCAGUUCUAAUUAGUUUUGUGUGCUUUAAAUUAUUUUGGUGGCCGUCCUGAUUCCUGCUGUGGGAGCCCUGGUCUGUGAUUGGUGGAGUACUUUUACACCUGGCCAAUCCUGCCUCACCUGCAGACUCCUCCCCUUGUUUAAGGAGAUUGCAGCAGCUGUUCAGGGCUGCUGGUCUUGGUGGUCAGGCUGUUUUUUUGUGUUUGUCUAGUUCUGUAGCCAAGUUCUGUUUUGUGCCUUUUUUAUAUCAUUUUUUUGUGUUUGUGGGUUUAUGUGGUUUACUUUGGGGCACUUGUGUUUUAGUUUUGUGCGUCCCUUAGUUUAACCUCGUUUUUGUUUAAG